GACGAACUGUGCAAACGUUAUUCGGAAUCACUGGGCUUGAAGAGUGCGUAGGCGGUUUUGUAAGUAGGGUGUGAAAGCCCCCGGCCCAACCGGGGAAUUGCGCCCUAAACUGCAAGGCUGGAGUGAGGUAGGGGUGUGUGGAACUUCUAGUGGAGCGGUGAAAUGUGUUGAUAUUAGAGGGAACGCCGGUGGCGAAAGCGACACACUGGACCUUGUCUGACGCUGAGGCACGAAAGCCAGGGGAGCAAACGGG
rnacentral:rRNA from 1 species